CAAGGCGUAGCUAUAAGCCAUAAAGCAUUCAGCUUACACCUGAAAGAUACCCCAAAUACAAGGUCGCCUUGA
rnacentral:tRNA from 1 species